UCUAGGGUAGUCUAAUGGACAUGGCAUCUGCCCAAUAAGCGGAACAAUGUGGGUUCUAUUCCCAUCCCUGGUAA